rnacentral:lncRNA from 10 species
GGCAAUAAUUACAUGAGCUGGCUCAGUUAUGUGGAAACUGAUCUCAUCUCAUUUGAAAAGGCAAGAAAAGGUGACGGUUGUACACCAAGUAAAGCAACUCAGAGGAAGGGAGGGAUGCAGAUUGGGGCCCGCAGCACAGGAGAGAGGCGCAAGGCCGACCUCACCUGCGCUCUCCAGAGCCACCCCCUCCUCCUCCUCUCUCAUGUCUCCGGCCAUCAAUCAAGUCACACAGAGAUGGACAGAGCAGUCCUUUUGUAGCCGAGCCGAGAGCCAUGCUUCUCCUAAACUGUUGGUUCCCAGAUUCUUAAAAGAUUUUGGAUCUCACUCUGUCACCCGGACUGGAGUACAGCGGCACCAUCUUGGCUUACUGCAGCCGUGACCUUCUGGGCUCUGGCAAUACUCCCACCUCAGCCUCCCUAGGAGCUGGGGCUACAGGCACAUGCCACCACGCCCAGCUAAUUUUUGUAGAGAUGGGGUCUCACCAACUUUCCAGGGCUGAUCUGGAACUUCUGAGCUCAAGUGAUCCACCCACCCUGGCCUCCCAAAGUGCUGGUAUUACAGGCAUCAGCCACCACGCCCCGCCAAGCAAGAACUUUUGCCCUCUCAGUCCUCCACGAUCAGACGGAGUUCUGAGUCACUUUUAUGCCCCCUUCACACAACUUCACGCCGACUGUUUUUCCUCGAGAUACAGCCUCUGCUCCGUGCCCUGACUCAAUGCCAGCUCCUAACUUGCAGUUGUGUUCCUUGCUGUGACAUCCUAUAUGCUGAAUGUCCAUGGAGAAGUGUGGCUCACUUUAACCCGACUAAUUUCUAAAAAAUAAGUCAUCACAACCAAAGAUGGGCAUCAUGUUAAAAGACAGCUUUCAACACAAUCCAUGUAGCCCUGAGGGUAAUACAAGGUACACCAGGUACCAGGUAUACCAGGUGUUUCCCAUGUGUGCUUCCAGACAGAUUCCAACAGUCAGUCAUGACCAGACAAAUAUGUUUCCGAUAAGGACAUAGGCUUGAGAUCACUCUGAAAAGCAAGGAAAGUUGUACCACAGCAUGUUUAUAUCAACUGAUCUUGGACUUGGGACAGUUUAAAAGAGAUGAAAACAACAGAGUAACUUCAUUUUUUCUUGCAACUCAUUCAAAAUGUAUGAAUUUUGCAACUUUUUUUUUUUUUUUUUUUUGAGACGGAGUCUCACUCUGUCGCCCAGGUUGGAGUGCAGCGGUCUUAUCUCGGCUCACUGCAAGCUCCGCCUCCCGGUUGACAUCAUUCUCCUGCCUCAGCCUCCCAAGUAGCAGGGACUACAGGCACCUGCCACCAUGCCUGGCUAAUUUUUUUGUAUUUUUAGUAGAGUUGGGGUUUCACCAUGUUAGCCAGGAUGGUCUGCAGAAUUAUUUUUAUGCAGAAUUUUAUAUAGGCUACAAAAGGCCUUCGCAGGAUUAGAGGCAUUCCUCCUCUCUAGCUGCCCAAUCAGUCUUGGUCACCCCAGCCCCUCUCUCUGCUGCCCCCCACUUCACCCCGUCAAUGGCGAGUCCCUUUCUUACUCCUCCAAGGUCCACUGUGUGCACAAAGCAUCUUCCCAUAUUCAGAUCUGUUUCCAGUCAAACAGGUGACAAAUUCAUUCCAAUGAAAUUAUCUGUGACCGUUCACCUCUCCCACAUGCACCAACGUCUUAAGCCAGAGAAGCAAUACUUGUUUGACUUGAGUGAGUAAUAAAUGAUCAUUAUAAAUGGAAGAGAGAGGGUCUUCCCGCAGCCCUAGAAGUUUAAACACAGAAUUUUCCAGCUGCUUCUGCCACUUGAAUGCCAUGUAUAUAUAUUUUGCUGAAUAAAAACCAGGCCAAUUAUUUUUUCAGAUUAGUAAUUUUACCUAUAUAUGAAAUGCCUUACAAAUGUGUAACAUUUAAAUUGCAGGUACUAUACAUUCAAUUUUCUUUCAUCAAGUGGUGUAAACUCACUAAAAAUCAGUAUUAUCGUAGAAAACACAAAAGUCCUAGUAGGCAUCCCAAUCAGUAAAAGGGAUGGCCAUGAAAAGGGGAUGUGGUCAUAAAAUCAGCAACAGAAUUUUCCUGGCUUUAUUGUCCCUCAGUGAAGCUACGCUGCAAACCACUGUCACUGACGUAUGCUCCCCUGUUUCAAAGCAAACUUCAAUCUCCUCCAUAACCAUGCCCAGAAAAAACUUUUCUGUAAUGAAUGGUAUACUUUUGUAAUUUAAUACAAUUACAUUUAUAUUUUAAAAUAUUCAAUAUCUCAUUUUUUGUUGAUAUUUUAUGUCACAUUCGCAAAGCAUUUGGCACACCUACUAUAAGAGUGAGUGAAAAUUUUUUUUAAAAAAAAGGAAGGGAGGGAGGAAGGAAGGGAAGGGAAGGGGAAGGGGAAGGGGGAGGGGAGGGGGGAAGGGGGAGGGGAGGGGAGGGGAGGGAGAGAAGGAAGGCAGCAAUCUUCCAAAGAAGUAAAAAGAGAUAUUAACCCCUACUGGUAAUGCUAAUUGACACAUUCUCCAAAAACUGAAUUAGCAUAAAAGUCACUGCCAAAAAAGCUACUGAUAUGAUUCAGUUCAUUUUUACUUAUUAGAAAAUGGGUUGAAUCAGAGUGAAAUCACCUCAAAUGUCCAUGGCAACUCUGAGUCAGGCUGCUUCAUGCUUUUAUCAUUGUCUCAUUUAGUAUGAAACAGAGAACAGUUAUAUAUAUAUAUAUCUAUACAUGUGUGUAUAGAUAUAUAAACUAUAUAUAGCUACAUAUAGAGUUAUAAAUAUAGUGUAUGUGUGUAUAUAUAGAGAGAGAGAAAGAAGUAGGCUUUUUAUAAACUAUCUUAAGCUAAAAAUAGAAGUAUAACGCUAUUCUAUGUUUGAAGAAAGACCAUUCUGUCAUGCCGUGACACUAGUUAAAUAUUGUGCAAUUAUUUUUUCAGUGAAUUUGAGACAUCUGAUGAUUAUUGAUCUCCUUCCAAAUGUCUCAACAUCAACAUCCAACAAAGCUGCUGAAAGGCAGUAAUCCAAUUUCAGAGCCUCGUAGAAGGCUGACUUCUAUCUGGUCAUCCCAUUCUUAAAUCACAGCAGUGGAUUCUGGACAAGACUGUAGGUUUCUUGUCUUUUGAAGCACAUGGAUCCCAUAUAUCAAAGGCCCGUAAGUUUUCUAUCAGUUAGAGCCCAGGCUGAAAUAAUAAGCAAAUUAGGGAACAAUUAGUGUCUUCAGGUAUCUACACAGUAGUAUAUGUGUGCAAUUUCAUGUUCCAAGGACACGAUCAGAAUUUGUGAAUCACUCACAAGUUACAAAAAGUCAAAUCACAAAAGGUAUGCUUUGCUCUGCCUUGCUUGCUUACGAAAUCAUAGUCUCUUAGAAGGAUUACAAAUAUUGAUAUUAACCCACACAGUAUGUGAGGUAGACUUAUCAGAGCACCAAUGACAUCUAUGAAACAGACACACUUAUCACAGGCAUGAGACUGCCUUUAAACAUUAUUAGCUGAUGUUGAAGAUAACACUCUCACUGUGUCCCAUUUCUAACUGAUUUUUUAAAAAGGAAAAUGUAUUUGAUAUUUAAUCAUUCCUAAUGACUACAUCUAGUUAGGUUACCAUCACAUUGCUGAAGAAUUUUAAUACUUGCUGGUGUCUUAAAACAAUUUAAUAUUCCAUGCUUAAGGUGUAGCUCUAAACUUCAGAUUCUUUGUUGUCUGAGGAAUUAACUCUUAAAAAGAAGAAAAUAGGCCGGGUGCGGUGGCUCACACCUCUAUCCCAGCACUUUGGGAGACCAAAGCAGGCAGAUCAUGAGGUCAUAAGAUCGAGACCAUCCUGGCCAACAUGGUGAAACCCCAUCUCUAGUAAAAACACACACACACACACACACAAAAUAACUGGGUAUGGUGGCGUGUACCUGUAAUACCAGCUACUCGGGAGGCUGAGUCACGAGAAUUGCUUGAACCCAGGAAGCGGAGGUUGCAGUGAGCCAAAAUUGCACCACUGCACUCCAGCCUCCAACACAGUGAGACUCCAUCUCAAAAAAAAAAAAAAAAAAGAAGAAGAAAAUAAAGUUAUAGUCUAUUUGUGCAGCCCACUCAAUCAAAGAUGCAAAUUUAUGGUGAGAUAAAUAUUCUUAAGCAAAUUAUAACACAAUAUUUAAAUAUACUUAAUAAUUAAAAGCUGGGAUAAAAUGAUAAAGGGAAGAAUCUGCUUCGAUGUAUCCUGUCCAUGCAUUCAGGUUCUUUGGAAAAUCGGUGUUUCUGAUAUAGGAGAUAAUAAUUCUCUGUGUGGAUUUACAGAAAGGAAAAGCCCCAGUUCUUUCAAGUUAUGGUCAUACUUGUCUGAUCCAAAUUAGGUUAAAAAUCUUCUUUAGAUAGAAAAAGUUAGGUGAGUAGGUAAAGCAUAUCCCUUAAGCAUUAUUUGAUGAGGAAAUAGACUGAAAAGGAUAAAUACUAGCCAUAGCAUUUACUGAAUCCAAAAGCCACAUUGAUUAGCACAGGCUCAUAGCACCAACAAAAUCAUGUAACCUGGAGAGAAGAAGACAUUUCGAUAAUGAUGAAAAUAUGAUUUAAAAAUUUCUGGAUGACUAAUGUUUAUAAGAACAACCGGAAUCUCCACUGAAAUAUUACCAAAGGCAGAUUGACAGGGAGAAAAACUUGCAUAAUGGUCACACACAGUGUUGAAGACAUCAUCCCAAAUACACUUCUUUCAGGGUUUAAGAGUUUCUAAUUUCCAAUGAACAGUGGCAUUGAUAAUCCAACCCUUCGUCCACUAGCAGUUACAGUCAUUGGUUAUGUGGCACAUCCAAAAGAACCUCAACAACCCCAGCAACUCAGCAUCCAUGGCUAGCUCAACAGCAGAACAAAUGAAUAGCCUAGAGAGUUGACUAUUCUUCUGAGCGUUUCAUUAACUCAGAUAUGUCUUAGGAGAUAAAAGAAGAAAGAAAAGUCUACAACUAAGUAACUCUCAAGGGACUGAUCCGACAAUAAAGUGCUUUAAAAUUUCCGAGUAAAGCAGUUAUUACACUAUUACAAACUUAAUAAAUCUGCCUAAUGUACUGAAUAGUUCUGCCUUAAAAAGUCACCAAAGAAGCAACAAGAAAAUGAAUUAUCUUUAAAAUGGCAUCAAACAUAUUUUCCGACAUCCAGGAAGAUCAUGCAGCUUCAAUCCAGUGGCCAUUUUGGUUGAAAAUAUUGACAAAUAAUUCUGUAUGAAAGCCACUCUAACGAGAUAAUGUUUGCAAACAAAAAUUAAAAUACAGCUUCUGUAUCAUCUGUCACCCAGGCUGGAGUGCAGUGGUGCGAUCUGAGCUCAAUACAGCCUCAACUUCCCAGACUUAUGUGAUGCUUCCUCCUUAGCCUCCUGAGUAGCUGAGACCACAGUCGCAAACCACCACAUCCAACUAAAAAGUAAUUGUGGUUUUCUCCAUUGAAAGUAAUGGUGAAAACCACAAUUACUUUUGCACCAACCUACUAAUUAUUUUUUGUUUGUUUGUUUCAUUUUGUUUUGUUUUGCAGAGACAGGUUUUGCCAUGUUGCCCAGGCUGGUCUCAAACUCCUGGGCUCAAGUGAUCCAUUUGCCGCAGUCUCCCAAAAUGCUGGGAUAACAGGUAUAAGCCACUAUGCCUGGCAGUCUUUUGCAGGCACACUAAGCAUCAUGAAUAUAAUCACCGCCAAGACACAGUUCCUACAUCAUGGACUUUCUAUGAGUGUAGGGCCUACAAACAACGGCCUUAGGACAAUUCUAGCCUGCUGCCUGUUUUUGUGUGACUGUGAUCAAAGAAUGAGUUAAAAAAAUCAAAAGAGGGAUGCUAUUUUAAUGGCAUAAACAUUAUAUAAAAUUCAAAUUUCUGUGUGUAGAAAUAAAGUUUUGUUGAAAAAUAGCCUCAUUUGGUUUACAUAUUGCCCAUGGAACUUUCUGCUAUAAUGGCAAGGUUGAGUACUUUCAACAGAGACUUUAUGGUCCACAAAGCCAAAAAUAUUUACUAUCUAGCACUUUGCAGAAGAAGGGUGGUGACCCCCUGGAAAGGUUGAAGAGAUAGUUAUGUAAGUGAUAAGUACAGUUGAUAACUCUCCACUGUUACUGCAGCAAAGACCAACUAGUAAGAAUUCUACAAAAUUUUACUUUAGCCUCACAAAACUAAAAGAUUAUGGCAUGCCUGUAUAUUUUCAGAAAAUGCCUGACUUUUACUAAUUCAAACAGAUGGUUUUCACUAUUCCUAAAUAGCAAGGAGCCAUCACUCAAAUCACAUGAUUGACUAUAGAUCCAUCUCUAUUAAGUCAUCUUUGAGGUGACCCAACAGUGUUCUUUAUGUUACCCAGUGGUUUGAUGAUUGACCAGAAAAUAUGCAACUGGAAUCAACAAAUAGAUAUAUUAAAACUAAACUAAAUAUCAUCAUGGCUACAUAGCGUUGCAUACAAUUGACUGUAACAACAUAGAUAUUAAAUGAUAAAAACAUAUAGAGUUCAUUAAGAAGAAUAAAUUAUUGAUUAUAGGGCCAGGCGUGGUGGCUCACACCUG